rnacentral:tRNA from 1 species
GCUGACGUAGCUCAGUAGGCAGAGCACAUCCUUGGUAAGGAUGAGGUCACCGGUUCGAUCCCGGGCGUCAGCUCCA